rnacentral:rRNA from 2 species
GGGUUGUGAGGUUAAGCGACUAAGCGUACACGGUGGAUGCCCUGGCAGUCAGAGGCGAUGAAGGGCGUGCUAAUCUGCGAUAAGCGCCGGUAAGGUGAUAUGAACCGUUAUAACCGGCGAUACCCGAAUGGGGAAACCCAGUGUGAUUCGUCACACUAUCAUUAACUGAAUCCAUAGGUUAAUGAGGCGAACCGGGGGAACUGAAACAUCUAAGUACCCCGAGGAAAAGAAAUCAACCGAGAUUCCCCCAGUAGCGGCGAGCGAACGGGGAGGAGCCCAGAGCCUGAAUCAGCAUGUGUGUUAGUGGAAGCGUCUGGAAAGGCGCGCGAUACAGGGUGACAGCCCCGUACACAAAAGCGCAUAUGCUGUGAGCUCGAUGAGUAGGGCGGGACACGUGGUAUCCUGUCUGAAUAUGGGGGGACCAUCCUCCAAGGCUAAAUACUCCUGACUGACCGAUAGUGAACCAGUACCGUGAGGGAAAGGCGAAAAGAACCCCGGCGAGGGGAGUGAAAAAGAACCUGAAACCGUGUACGUACAAGCAGUGGGAGCCCCACCACUAAGCCAGUGGUGAACUCCACAUACGCAUCCUUUGCUGAGGAGACGGUUAACGGAGCGAAAGCGACGUUCAACCUCAAAAGAAGCAGAGGGGGCUUAGUGGUGGGGUGACUGCGUACCUUUUGUAUAAUGGGUCAGCGACUUAUAUUCUGUAGCAAGGUUAACUGUAUAGGGGAGCCGGAGGGAAACCGAGUCUUAACCGGGCGUUAAGUUGCAGGGUAUAGACCCGAAACCCGGUGAUCUAGCCAUGGGCAGGUUGAAGGUUGGGUAACACUAACUGGAGGACCGAACCGACUAAUGUUGAAAAAUUAGCGGAUGACCUGUGGCUGGGGGUGAAAGGCCAAUCAAACCGGGAGAUAGCUGGUUCUCCCCGAAAGCUAUUUAGGUAGCGCCUCGUGAAUUCAUCUCCGGGGGUAGAGCACUGUUUCGGCUAGGGGGCCAUCCCGGCUUACCAACCCGAUGCAAACUGCGAAUACCGGAGAAUGUUAUCACGGGAGACACACGGCGGGUGCUAAUGUCCGUCGUGAAGAGGGAAACAACCCAGACCGCCAGCUAAGGUCCCAAAGUCAUGGUUAAGUGGGAAACGAUGUGGGAAGGCCCAGACAGCCAGGAUGUUGGCUUAGAAGCAGCCAUCAUUUAAAGAAAGCGUAAUAGCUCACUGGUCGAGUCGGCCUGCGCGGAAGAUGUAACGGGGCUAAA